rnacentral:ncRNA from 1 species
UGUACAUGUAAGUUUAUGCAAAUUUCAAUAAAUUAAAAAAAAGCAGUAUUUAAUAUUAAAAAUAUAAGGAAUUAUGAUUUAGAAAUGAAUUUUAGGUUUAACAAAAUUUGUGCCAGCAGUUGCGGUUAUACAAAUAAACCAGUUAAUAUAUAUUAAUUAGUAGUUAAAAGAAUAAUUUAAAAAUAAUUAAAGUUAUUAGGUGAAAUUAAUACUUUAUAUUAAUUAAAGAUUUAGGUUUUGAGGCUAUGAAAUUUAUUAAUAAACUAGGAUUAGAUACCCUAUUAUUAUAAAUGUAAAAUUUUUAUUAGGUUAGUGUAAGUUAAGGUCUUUAAAACAAAAGAUUUUGGCGGUAUUUUAGUCUUUUCAGAGGAACCUGUCCUGUAAUUGAUAAUCCACGAUUGGAAAUACUUUUUUUAAAAGUUUGUAUAUCGUUGUAGUUGAGUGUUUUAUAAGAAUUUAUAACAUUCAAGAAUUUUAUGAAAAAGAAAAUCAAAUCAAGAUGCAGUUAAUGAGAAAGAAGAGAUGGGUUACAAUAAAUUUAUUUAAAUGGAAUAAGAAUAUAAACUUUUUUAUUAAAGUGGAUUUGAAAGUAAAAAGGAAUAUUUAUUUUUUUUGAUUAAGCUCUAAAAUAUGCACAUAUCGCCCGUCGCUUUCAUUUAAGAUGAAAUAAGUCGUAACAGAGUAGAUGUACUGGAAAGUGUAUCUAGAAAGCU